ACUCCUACGGGAGGCAGCAGUGGGGAAUAUUGCACAAUGGGCGCAAGCCUGAUGCAGCCAUGCCGCGUGUAUGAAGAAGGCCUUCGGGUUGUAAAGUACUUUCAGCAGUGAGGAAGGUGGGUAUGUUAAUAGCAUAUUCAUUUGACGUUAGCUGCAGAAGAAGCACCGGCUAACUCCGUGCCAGCAGCCGCGGUAAUACGGAGGGUGCGAGCGUUAAUCGGAAUUACUGGGCGUAAAGCGCAUGCAGGUGGUUUGUUAAGUCAGAUGUGAAAGCCCGGGGCUCAACCUCGGAAUUGCAUUUGAAACUGGCAAACUAGAGUACUGUAGAGGGGGGUAGAAUUUCAGGUGUAGCGGUGAAAUGCGUAGAGAUCUGAAGGAAUACCGGUGGCGAAGGCGGCCCCCUGGACAGAUACUGACACUCAGAUAGCGAAAGCGUGGGGAGCAAACAGGAUUAGAUACCCUGGUAGCU
rnacentral:rRNA from 1 species